rnacentral:rRNA from 1 species
CUACACGGGUUUCUAAUCCUGUUUGCUCCCCACGCUUUCGUGCCUCAGUGUCAGUGCUGGUCCAGGUAGUCGCCUUCGCCACGGAUGUUCCUCCCGAUCUCUACGCAUUUCACUGCUACACCGGGAAUUCCACUACCCUCUACCGCACUCUAGCCUGCCAGUAUCCAAUGCAAUUCCCAGGUUGAGCCCAGGGCUUUCACAUCAGACUUAACAAACCACCUACGCACGCUUUACGCCCAGUAAUUCCGAGUAACGCUUGCACCCUUCGUAUUACCGCGGCUGCUGGCAC